UACAGAGGGGGCAAGCGUUGUCCGGAAUUACUGGGCGUACAGCGCGCGCAGGCGGUUGGCGACGUGCCGUGUGACAAGCGGGGGCUCAACCCCCGAGGGCCACGGUAAACGGGGCGACUGGAGGGAGGGAGAGGGAUGUGGAAUGCCCGGUGGAGCGGUGAAAUGCGUAGAGAUCGGGCGGAACACCAGCGGCGAAGGCGGCAUCCUGGACCGGCAUUGACGCUGAGGCGCGAAAGCCAGGGGAGCAAACGGG
rnacentral:rRNA from 1 species